AUGAUACGGCCGCANGUGUGCUGAANUUCGCCCUUAGAGUUUGAUCCUGGCUCAGAACGAACGCUGGCGGCGUGGAUAAGACAUGCAAGUCGAACGGAACUAUUUGAGUAGCAAUAUGAGAGUAGUUUAGUGGCGAACGGGUGCGUAACACGUGGAUACAUUCCGGGAAGCGGGGGAUAGCCCAGGGAAACUUGGAUUAAUACCGCAUGUGAUCGAAAGAUCAAAGACGGGGACCGAAAGGCCUGUCACUUCCCGAUUGGUCCGCGGCCUAUCAGCUAGUUGGCGGGGUAAAAGCCCACCAAGGCUACGACGGGUAGCUGGUCUUAGAGGACGACCAGCCACACUGGAACUGAGACACGGUCCAGACACCUACGGGUGGCAGCAGUCGAGAAUCUUUCACAAUGGGGGCAACCCUGAUGGAGCGACGCCGCGUGGAGGAUAAGGUCUUCGGAUUGUAAACUCCUGUCAUGCGCGAACAAGGUUGCAAGGUUAAUAACUUUGCAAAUUGAUGGUACCGUAAGAGGAAGAGACGGCUAACUCUGUGCCAGCA
rnacentral:rRNA from 1 species